rnacentral:rRNA from 1 species
ACGAACGCUGGCGGCGUGCUUAACACCUGCCAGUCGAACGGAAAGGCCCGGCUUUUGUGGGGUGCUCGAGUGGCGAACGGGUGAGUAACACGUGAGUAACCUGCCCUUGACUUUGGGAUAACUUCAGGAAACUGGGGCUAAUACCGGAUAGGAGCUCCUGCUGCAUGGUGGGGGUUGGAAAGUUUCGGCGGUUGGGGAUGGACUCGCGGCUUAUCAGCUUGUUGGUGGGGUAGUGGCUUACCAAGGCUUUGACGGGUAGCCGGCCUGAGAGGGUGACCGGCCACAUUGGGACUGAGAUACGGCCCAGACUCCUACGGGAGGCAGCAGUGGGGAAUAUUGCACAAUGGGCGGAAGCCUGAUGCAGCAACGCCGCGUGCGGGAUGACGGCCUUCGGGUUGUAAACCGCUUUCGCCUGUGACGAAGCGUGAGUGACGGUAAUGGGUAAAGAAGCACCGGCUAACUACGUG